GCGGGAAGUAGUUCAGUGGUAGAAUACAACCUUGCCAAGGUUGGGGUCGCGGGUUCGAAUCCCGUCUUCCGCUCCA
rnacentral:tRNA from 1 species